rnacentral:rRNA from 1 species
CCUACGGGAGGCAGCAGUGAGGAAUAUUGGUCAAUGGGCGUAAGCCUGAACCAGCCAAGUCGCGUGAGGGAUGAAGGUUCUAUGGAUCGUAAACCUCUUUUAUAAGGGAAUAAAGUGCGGGACGUGUCCCGGUUUGUAUGUAACUUAUGAAUAAGGAUCGGCUAACUCCGUGCCAGCCGCCCCGGUAAUACGGAGGAUCCGAGCGUUAUCCGGAUUUAUUGGGUUUAAAGGGUGCGUAGGCGGCCUUUUAAGUCAGCGGUGAAAGUCUGUGGCGCAACCAUAGAAUGGCCGUUGAAACUGGGGGGCUUGAGUAUGUGAGAGGCAGGCGGAAUGCGUGGUGUAGCGGUGAAAUGCUUAGAUAUCACGCAGAACCCCGAUUGCGAAGGCAGCCUGCC